rnacentral:rRNA from 1 species
GACGAACGCUGGCGGCGUGCUUAACACAUGCAAGUCGAACGGAAAGGCCCUGCUUUUGUUGGGUGCUCGAGUGGCGAACGCGGGUGUAACACGUGAGUAACCUGCCCUUGACUUUGGGAUAACUUCAGGAAACUGGGGCUAAUACCGGAUAGGAUCUCCUGCUGCAUGGUGGGGGUUGGAAAGUUUCGGCGGUUCGGGAUUGACUCGCGGCUUAUCAGCUGGUUGGUGGAGUAGUUGCUUACCAAGGCUUUGACGGGUAGCCGGCCUGAGAGGGUUACCGGCAACAAUGGGCCUAAGAUACGGCGCAGACUCGUACGUGCGGCAGCAGGCGAGAAUCUUGCAGAAUGGGCGGAAGCCUGAUGCAGCAACGCCGCGUGCGGGAUACCGGCCUUCGGGCUGUAAACAGAUGUCGCAUGGGACGAAGACUGAGUGACGGUAAUGGGUAAAGAAGCCACGGCUAACUACGUG